AUUGAACGCUGGCGGCAUGCCUUACACAUGCAAGUCGAACGGUAACGGGUUAAGCUGACGAGUGGCGAACGGGUGAGUAAUGUAUCGGAACGUGCCCAGUCGUGGGGGAUAACUGCUCGAAAGAGCAGCUAAUACCGCAUACGACCUGAGGGUGAAAGCGGGGGAUCGCAAGACCUCGCGCGAUUGGAGCGGCCGAUAUCAGAUUAGGUAGUUGGUGGGGUAAAAGCCUACCAAGCCAACGAUCUGUAGCUGGUCUGAGAGGACGACCAGCCACACUGGGACUGAGACACGGCCCAGACUCCUACGGGAGGCAGCAGUGGGGAAUUUUGGACAAUGGGCGCAAGCCUGAUCCAGCCAUGCCGCGUGCGGGAAGAAGGCCUCGGUU
rnacentral:rRNA from 1 species